CAGGGAGACAACAAAAUGUUUAGUAUUAUUUUGUCACCUUAGGUCGAUCGGUAUCUCGCGUUCUUAAAUUUGUUAAGAAUUUCAAUUCCUAAGUUUUUCUAGGUCACACCCAUUAUUUUCCUGGGCCAUUAGCUCAGGUGGUUAGAGCGCACCCCUGAUAAGGGUGAGGUCCCUGGUUCAAGUCCAGGAUGGCCCAUAUCUCUAUGUUGGGGGUAUAGCUCAGUUGGUAGAGCGCCUGCUUUGCAAGCAGGAUGUCAGCGGUUCGAGUCCGCUUACCUCCACUGAUUACCACCUCUUCCAUAAUAUUUAGAAAGGAAAAAUUUUUGAGUUUUGACUAUAGUUCUGAACGAAUCUAGCUUCCUAAUGAAACCAUUAAGAUGCUGGACUCAUUGAAUUAAUUUCAUUGUUUUCAGAGAACCUUGACAACUGCAUAGAUUAUUUUUAAAGACAAUAAGCAUCUUUAAUGAUGCAGAUUUAUUAUUUGUGCAAAUGCAUUAAUAACAAUUCUAUUAAGCUGAUGCUUCAAUUUUGAAGUUAUU
rnacentral:tRNA from 1 species